GGUUGAAGAAUCAUAGAGAGGGUAACCAGAAUCAAAUACCCAUUUUCCUUGGAACCAAUUGCAUUUGCUUGCUAAUAAUUUCCUGGAACUGAAUAAGCCAUCAGUAUCAGUGUUAUUGAACAAGGUAGUGUUGAAAGUCUCAGCUUUUGCAGCUGAUAAAUGGGGAUGAGGAGAUACCAACAAAAACAGAGAGAGAAAUGAG
rnacentral:misc_RNA from 1 species